GAUGAACGCUGGCGGCGUGCUUAACACAUGCAAGUCGAACGAAGCACUUUAACCUGAUUCUUCGGAUGAAGGUUUUUGUGACUGAGUGGCGGACGGGUGAGUAACGCGUGGGUAACCUGCCUCAUACAGGGGGAUAACAGUUAGAAAUGACUGCUAAUACCGCAUAAGACCACAGAGCCGCAUGGCUCGGUGGGAAAAACUCCGGUGGUAUGAGAUGGACCCGCGUCUGAUUAGGUAGUUGGUGGGGUAACGGCCUACCAAGCCAACGAUCAGUAUCCGACCUGAGAGGGUGACCGGCCACAUUGGGACUGAGACACGGCCCAAACUCCUACGGGAAGCAGCAGUGGGGAAUAUUGCACAAUGGGGGAAACCCUGAUGCAGCGACGCCGCGUGAGCGAAGAAGUAUUUCGGUAUGUAAAGCUCUAUCAGCAGGGAAGAAAAUGACGGUACCUGACUAAGAAGCACCGGCUAAAUACGUG
rnacentral:rRNA from 1 species